UGCCAGCAGAUGCGGUAAUAUGAACGGACCUAGCGUCGUUAGGAAUUACUGGGCUUAAAGAGUUCGUAGGUGGUUGAAGAAGUUAGUGGUGAAAUCCCAGAGCUUAACUCUGGAACUGCCAUUAAAACUUUUUAGCUAGAGUGUGAUAGAGGUAAGUGGAAUUUCUAGUGUAGAGGUGAAAUUCGUAGAUAUUAGAAAGAACACCAAAUGCGAAGGCAGCUUACUGGGUCACUACUGACACUGAGGAGCGAAAGCAUGGGUAGCGAAGAGGAUUAGAUA
rnacentral:rRNA from 1 species